UGUCAAAACUGUUCCGGUCCGUCACUGAGUAGACGAUCACUGCGCCAUCUACCUUGUGUAGCCAGUCUCUGGUAGUCGACUUCCGGUCAAGAUUCUGCAAAGAAGACAAAAAGACAAAUCGCAGUCAAGGUGGUGAAUGAUUAAAACUGAAAGAAGAUCUUUGUCCUAUCAAUAUUUCAAACAUCAUCUUCACGCGUCAGGGAAGGAAGUGUGUAAGAAUGCUGUGAAGUGGCCAUCAUCUCAGCAAGCUUUAAUUGCUGUUUACGUAACAAAUUUACUCUUGCAAAAUAUAGCAAAUGGGGGAAUAAUACACACUUAGAACAAUAUGGGUCUAUUCGACACAGGUACCCUCUCUUAUACGUGAACAUGGCACAACAACCCUACCUUUCCUGCUACGUCCGUUAUUUUUAUGGACACCUGCUUUUCAUCCACCAACACGUUUCGUUCAU